ensembl:Y_RNA Y_RNA Y RNA
GGCUGGUCUGAAGGUAGUGUUAUCUCAAUUGAUGGUGCAGUCAGUUACAGACUGAACUCCUUGUUCCACUCUUUCCCCGCUUCUUACUACUGCACUUGACUAGUCUUAA